rnacentral:rRNA from 1 species
GACGUAGGGCGCGAGCGUUGUCCGGAUUUAUUGGGCGUAAAGAGCUCGUAGGCGGCUUGUCGCGUCGACUGUGAAAACUUGGGGCUUAACCCUGAGCUUGCGGUCGAUACGGGCAUGACUGGAGUUCGGUAGGGGAGACUGGAAUUCCUGGUGUAGCGGUGAAAUGCGCAGAUAUCAGGAGGAACACCGGUGGCGAAGGCGGGUCUCUGGGCCGAUACUGACGCUGAGGAGCGAAAGCGUGGGGAGCGAACAGG